AUAAUGCCGCCCUGUCUUCUGUGGAGCUUAUAUCGAGUUAUCCGCUACUGAAUAUCGUGCUUAACCCUGUCAGUUGUUUCAACAUACGUGCAAGUUUGGAUUCACUUUGGAAAUGAUUCAUUUUUAAAGUCCAAGUAAAAAUAAAGAAGUUAAUCGACAAUAGACAUCCCUAAACAGAUUAUAAUUGGAGCAUGCGUGGUACGAGGGUUGAGGGUAAGAGGAUGACGACGACGGGGGUGAAGAGUGAGGAGCGGGGCGGUGCGGAGGGGUGCGCGUGUCACCCGCGGCGCCGCGAUGUUACGACGACAACGGACGUGAUCUUGACAUCGCGUAUGCACCUUCCAACAACACUUUAACACUACACAUAUUGCAAACAUUGAAUCUGUUAUCUAAAUAAGCCUUAUCGAUAAGUUAGGAAGUGUGAACUCAAAAUAAUAAAAUCGAUUCAAAAAGCCAUUCAACUUUAAAUAGUAGAUAGUUUAAACAUUGAAAAAAUGUUUGAGAGCUAACGAUUUGACAAGAAUUUUAAGGUGGGAUGGAUUUCUGGUUAAAACAAAGAUGAA